rnacentral:rRNA from 1 species
GUGGGGAAUAUUGGACAAUGGGCGCAAGCCUGAUCCAGCCAUGCCGCGUGAGUGAUGAAGGCCUUAGGGUUGUAAAGCUCUUUUGUCCGGGAAGAUAAUGACUGUACCGGAAGAAUAAGCCCCGGCUAACUUCGUGCCAGCAGCCGCGGUAAUACGAAGGGGGCUAGCGUUGUUCGGAAUCACUCGGCGUAAAGCGCACGUAGGCGGACCAUUAAGUCAGGGGUGAAAGCCUGGAGCUCAACGCCAGAACUGCCUUUGAUACUGAUGGUCUCGAUGUCGGAAGAGGUUGGUGGAACUGCGAGUGUAGAGGUGAAAUUCGUAGAUAUUCGCAAGAACACCAGUGGCGAAGGCGGCCAACUGGUCCGAUACUGACGCUGAGGUGCGAAAGCGUGGGGAGCAAACAGGAUUAGAAACCCGGGUAGUCC